rnacentral:rRNA from 1 species
UAUGUGAUCGUCUCUCGCAUAUCAAUAAGCGGAGGAAAAGAAACUAACAAGGAUUCCCCUAGUAACGGCGAGUGAAGCGGGAAGAGCUCAAAUUUGAAAUCUUAAAGGGUUUCCCUUUACGAAUUGUAGUUUAAAGAAGUGUUUUCUGUUAGAGGUUUUGGUAAAAGUUCUUUGGAAUAGGACAUCAUAGAGGGUGAGAAUCCCGUAUUUGACCUUUACUUUCAACUUUGUGAUACACUUUCAAAGAGUCGGAUUGUUUGGGAAUGCAGUCCAAAAUGGGUGGUAAAUUUCAUCUAAAGCUAAAUAUUGGCGAGAGACCGAUAGCGAACAAGUACCGUGAGGGAAAGAUGAAAAGAACUUUGAAAAGAGAGUUAAACAGUACGUGAAAUUGUCAAAAGGGAAGCGUUUGACACCAGUGCUGUUUUUCUGAAAAUCAAUUAAAGAACUGUUUAUGCUAAGUUGUUUAGACUUUAUCAGCUAACUGUUUAGUUUUGAGCUUUUCUUUAAUGCACUUUUCAGUUAACAAGUCAACAUCAAUUUCUUUUGCUGUAAAAAAGCUUGAGGAAGGUGGCUUGAGAUUCGUCUUAAGUGUUUAUAGCCUCUUGCCUAUGCAGUCGGAGAGAUUGAGGUCUGCAGCGUAGAUCCUUCGGGGCUAAAUGCAUUUGUGCUAAGUUAUAGCAUUUUAUAGACAACUUGUUGACUAUGAUUUGUCUUGUAGCUUACUCGCUUAUGUUAUUUUACCUACGCUUAGGAUGUUGAUCUACAGAGCGAGAGU